AAAAAAAAGCUAAGUAACAAUGUGGAUCUAAUGCAAGGAAUGAGAGACCCUGAAAAGAGUAACUCAUUGGAAAAUAUUUUUCUUACUGUUUUAAUCUUCUUCUUCGUUUUUUAAAAAAGAUUUAUUUAUUAUUCAUUGGUACACUGUAGCUGUCUUCAGAUGUACCAGAAGAGGGUGUCAGAUCUCAUUAUGGGUGGUUGUGAGCCACCAUGUGGUUGCUGGGAUUUGAACUCAGGACCUUUGGAAGAGCAGUCAAUGCUCUUAACCACUGAGCCAUCUCGCCAGCCCUGUUUUAAUCCUCUUAAAAGAUUAGCAUGAACAAUAAUUCUAGCAAUAUGGCACAUGGUUUAUAGCAUACAUAUGAGUACUACAGAACAAAAUUGGGAUGGAAGAAAUGAGGCUUUUAUACUACAUAAAUAGCAGCAUAUCACUGGACAGCAGGUUAAAGAUAAUAUACUAUACAUGUUAAAGCAGCUAUUCAUAUAAUAAAGACUUUUAGUUAAAAUGGUACAAACUAAAGUAAAACAACCCCUAUCCCCCUCACAUACACACACUUUAGUUUUGGCUAGAACAAUAGCUCAGUGGAUAAAUGUAUUUUGCUGUACAAGUAUGUGACCUUAAGUUUACAUCUCCAGCACACAUAUAAAAGGCAAGCAGAACAAUGUGUCUGAGUGGGGUAGAUCUCAAAGUUCCCUGGAUGAUCAGGUUUGGUAAAGAGAUCCUUUUUCAAAAAACAAGGAAGAGAGUGAUAGUCAACAUCAAUCUCUGGCCUCUACAGAUCCAUGCGUGCAAGCACACACACAAUUAGUUGUGGCAAACAUACACACACCAGCUAAUCCAAAAGAUGACAAGAAAAAAAAAUGAGAAAAUGGAAGGAAGAAAAGAAAAUAAUACCAAGGUAACAGACAUAUUCAUACAUAAAUUAUCUAAGUAUCUUACAUGUAAAUAAAUGAUCUACACCAUAAAAGACAGAGAUUAUUUGAUAGGACACAGAGCCAAACCUAAGUAUUCUGCCUACAAGAAACACACUUUAAAUAUGAAGGUACAGAGACAAGAAUGAAGAAAGGCACUGUGUAAGCAUCAGUUCAAUGACAGACAACAGCUAAGAAGAAGUUCUUUGCUGAUGUUCCAUUAAGAACAUAUCACAACUCAAAUGUUUUUCUGCCUCAUAACCAGACUCAAAUUAUACAAAGCAAAAACUGAUAAAUGAGAAAGAGCUAACCCCACAAUUAUAAGAGGUUUUUAACACCCUUAUGUUAUUUUUAUAUUUACCUACUUGAUUGCUUACAUACUACAGAACUAAAGAUUAAACUCAGCUCCACAUUUAAGUGGACAUUUCACCUCUGAGCUAUACUCUUCCCUACUGCAAUAUUUAGUAGAGGAAGCAGACAGAAGUCAAUUAGAGAUUUUAAUAACACUAUCAACUGUUUUGACCUGACAUAGAACACUUCACAGAAGAAUAUCAGGAAAAUCAUCGUUUUUAUGUGCACACAAACAUUUACAAUGACAAACCAUAUUCUAGGCAAUAAAGCAAAUCUCAAUAAUCUUAAAAGAUUAUUAAAGACUUAUAUAAAAUAUUUUCUGAUUACAACAGAACUAAAUUAAAAUUCAAAACAUUUGGAAAAUAAAGAUUCAGAAAUUAAAUAAACACCUUUAGCUAAAAGAAUGAAAGGAGAAAUUCUAAAAUUCAAUACACAAUAAAACUAAAACUCACCUGACAUGUCACAACUCUAUGCUAUGGCAUGAUAGUACAGUGGCGCUUAGGGGGCCAGCUUCAGCCCUGACUCCCUAUAGCAGUGGUUCUCAAUGAGACCUCUAAUAAAGAGCAAACUGAAAAUGAACUAGAAAACAGAAGAAAAACCAAUGAAACAAAGGCUCAGAAGAUCAGUAAAGUUGAGAAAUGUCCACCCUAGUCACGUGAAAAGAAAGAUUCAAAUGGCUACUGCCAGAAAUGGUGUUCUGAGUCUACUGAAAUUAAAAGAAUAGUUAAUAAUAAUUUUUAAAAAUCCUUCAUUCCAAAAAAUUCAGCAACCUGGGAAAAUUACAAAUUCAAACCUGCUGCAGCUCACUCAAGAAUGCAGACACACCGAAAAGUUCUAUGUGUAUUAAGAAAAUUUGAAUUUAUAAUUUAAAACAUUCCUUCAAAAAACCCUCCAGUUCCAGAUGGCUACAUGAUGAAUACUUCAAACAGAAAUAAUACCAACUUUAUGCAACUUUCCCAUAAAACUGAAAAGGCAGAACUUUCUAACUCACUUUAUAAGGUCAGAAUUAUUCCAACCAGACCAAAAAGUAUCUCAAGAAAACUAUAAACUUUACAACAGAUAUUCUAAGUGAUUUUGAUAAUUAUAGUAAUACGAUGUGAAGAUAUAAUUAUACUACCACCUAAAUUCAAUUUGUCUAAAAACAAAAGACUGUUGCUAGGUAUUUGGUCAUACUGUGAAUCCUGAAAUUGUGUUGUUUACUGGAAAAACAUGUUUCUAGUUGUGGUGUGGCUCAGCUUUAGCACAUACCUUUAAUCCCUUUGGUUGAAGUACAGACAUACCCUUAUUACACACUUACGUAAUCCCAAACAAUGAAGGUAAAAUUAACUUGUAGAAGGAAACACCCAUGUUUGAAAAUGAUGUUUAACUGAGUGGCAGAUAAAGCGAUGAAUCAGAGAAAGAUUUGACAGAAUGGGAUAUGCUCAACUCUCAUAAGAAUAGAGAGAAAUAUAGACUACUUCAACAAGCAUUCAAAAGCAAUAAAAGGGAAGAAGUGUAUUUUAUCAAAUGGUUUUAUAAUAGAUAAGCAAUGGACAUUUCGCUUCUAGAACUGGAAAGAACAACAGGAUUCUGGUGUGGACAGUAGUAAACUCAAAAUAGACCACAGACAUAAACCUAAAACUAUAAAACUUUUAGAAACAAAAGGAAAAAUUCAUAUGAGUGAAGUGAUGAUUGACCACAGAAUUAAAAAAACUUGCUCUUCAAGAAUCACC
rnacentral:lncRNA from 1 species